rnacentral:misc_RNA from 1 species
AUCGUCUUCUUCCGUCGGAUCGUAAAGCCCGGCGUCGUAGACGGACCUCUUCGUCUGAUCGGAGAGAACUGAAUACGCUUCUUGUACUAAUUGAAACUGCCGCUUAGCUUCUCCAGCCACCGCAGGAUUCCGCGUCCACCGGUCCGGAUGCCAUUUCAUAGCGAGCUUGCGAUAGGCAGUACGGAUAUCAGAGAAGGAGGCAUCCUUACGAAUACCGAGGAUAGCGUAGUAGCAAGCUCCGCCGUCGGAUCCUCCUCCCCGAUCCAUGGAAAACCGGAAUCAGAAAGAAGAGAAGCCGCAGAAUCUUGAAAUACAACCAGCACAGCAGACAAAAGGAGUGAAAAACAAGUUUCAGAUCACCAUAACAGCGGCAUGGCCAUGGG